rnacentral:tRNA from 1 species
AAGAAGGGAUGUGAAUCAAUAAGUACUGCUAAUCCUUAGGCCCCGGGGUUAAACUCCCCGGCCUUCUUA